UGCGUAGGCGGUGCAGCAAGUCGGGAGUGAAAUCCCACAGCUCAACUGUGGAAUUGCUUUCGAUACUGCUGUGCUUGAGUGAGAUAGAGGUAAGCGGAACUUAGGGUGGAGCGGUGAAAUGCGUUGAUAUCCUAAGGAACACCGGUGGCGAAGGCGGCUUACUGGAUCUCUACUGACGCUGAUGCACGAAAGCCAGGGUAGCGGAACG
rnacentral:rRNA from 1 species